UACAGAGACUGCGAGCGUUAUUCGGAUUCACUGGGCGUAAAGCGUGCGCAGGCGGUUCGUUGUGUCGGCGGGGAAAGCCCCGGGCUUAACCUGGGAAUGGCCGUCGAAACUGGCGAACUGGAGUGUGGCAGAGGGGGGUGGAAUUCCGCGUGUAGCAGUGAAAUGCGUAGAGAUGCGGAGGAACACCGAUGGCGAAGGCAGCCCCCUGGGCUGACACUGACGCUCAGGCACGAAAGCGUGGGGAUCAAACAGG
rnacentral:rRNA from 1 species